rfam:Camelus ferus unplaced genomic scaffold scaffold125148, whole genome shotgun sequence.
GAGGGUAUCGCUCAAUGGUAGAGCGCGUGCUUAGCAUGCAUGAGGUCCCGGGUUCAAUCCCCAGUAUCUCCA